AUCAGAUUCACUUUCUACACAGAGACCUCUACAACACAGAGAUCCAGCCAUGGAGCCUACAAUCACUUCAGCUAUAAUCUACUCUAAGGACCACCUGAAUCUGACCAAUAAACUAAGAAAAUCAGUGGUGGAAAAGUUACGCAGAGAUAGUAUCAACAACACCAUUGAGCACCUCAAGUCUCUCCUGGGUCCAGAGAUCCUCAACCAGCAGUCUGACUCCAAGCUGGAGAAAGCAGGCAUCCUGUGAAUGAAAGUUUGCUUCCUGAGAUGACAGAAACAACAGCAACAGUACCAGCCAGUGAGCUCCUCAUCCUGCUCAGCAUGAGCCAAUUAGGGUUACUCCUUCUCUGUGUCUCAGAGAAGACUGCUGAGUCACUUCCAGAUACUAAGAACAGAAGGGAGAGUGACCUGCCUCAGAUGAGCUUUUAGCCCAGACAAACACAAUGGACCAUGUUGGUCUUAGAUUAUUGUCAUGGAGAGUAAUGCGAAUAGGAAGAUAUCUUCUUCUUCAUCUUCUGCUCAUGUAGAUUUUUUAAAGUAUAGCUGUGAUUGAGACUUUUAAAUUCAGUUGUUUAAAAGUUUAAAUGUUUUUUUCGAAAGAAAUGAUCCAAUUGAUGAGCACUAAUUUUUGUAGUAUUUUUUUAAACGUGUUGAUUACAAUGAUCAACAAUAACUUGAAUGGCCCACCAUGAGGACUUUUAUCCCAAAAUGGGUGUUAUAUCACUGCUUGUGAAUGUUUAUGCCUUAUAUUUUUUAAGGUGAACGUAUGAGAGAAAAAAAGAACAUAUUUGCUUUGUUACCAAUACAUUUGUGUAGUGAAAUGGUCAUAUUGACGUUAAUAUUGCACAUCUUCUGUUAAAAACAACAUGUAUACAUGUAUAAAG